UUAAGUUAAUAAGGGCGCACGGUGGAUGCCUUGGCACUAGGAGCCGACGAAGGACGUGACAAACGACGAUAUGCCUUGGGUAGCUGUAAGUAAGCGAUGAUCCAGGGAUUUCCGAAUGGGGGAACCCAACAGGUAAUACCUGUUACCUACAUCUGUUAAGGAUGUGAGGAGGAAGACGCAGUGAACUGAAACAUCUAAGUAGCUGCAGGAAGAGAAAGCAAAAGCGAUUGCCUUAGUAGCGGCGAGCGAAACGGCAGAAGGGCAAACCGAAGAGUUUACUCUUCGGGGUUGUAGGACUGCAAUGUGGACUCAAAGAUUAUAGAAGAAUGAUUUGGGAAGAUCAGCCAAAGAGAGUAAUAGCCUCGUAUUUAAAAUAGUCUUUGUACUUAGCAGUAUCCUGAGUACGGCGGGACACGUGAAAUCCCGUCGGAAUCUGGGAGGACCAUCUCCCAACCCUAAAUACUCCCUAGUGACCGAUAGUGAACCAGUACCGUGAGGGAAAGGUGAAAAGCACCCCGGGAGGGGAGUGAAAUAGAACCUGAAACCGUGUGCCUACAACAAGUUCGAGCCCGUUAAUGGGUGAGAGCGUGCCUUUUGUAGAAUGAACCGGCGAGUUACGUUAUGAUGCGAGGUUAAGUUGAAGAGACGGAGCCGUAGGGAAACCGAGUCUGAAUAGGGCGCCUUAGUAUCAUGACGUAGACCCGAAACCAUGUGACCUACCCAUGAGCAGGUUGAAGGUGCGGUAAGACGCACUGGAGGACCGAACCAGGGCACGUUGAAAAGUGCUUGGAUGACUUGUGGGUAGCGGAGAAAUUCCAAACGAACUUGGAGAUAGCUGGUUCUCUCCGAAAUAGCUUUAGGGCUAGCGUCGACAUUAGAGAUUCUUGGAGGUAGAGCACUGUUUGGGUGAGGGGUCCAUCCCGGAUUACCAAUCUCAGAUAAACUCCGAAUGCCAAUGAAUUAUGGUCGGCAGUCAGACUGCGAGUGCUAAGAUCCGUAGUCGAAAGGGAAACAGCCCAGACCACCAGCUAAGGUCCCAAAAUAAUUGUUAAGUGGAAAAGGAUGUGGGGUUGCACAGACAACUAGGAUGUUAGCUUAGAAGCAGCUAUUCAUUCAAAGAGUGCGUAAUAGCUCACUAGUCGAGUGACCCUGCGCCGAAAAUGUACCGGGGCUAAAACAAUUUACCGAAGCUGUGGAUACCUUUAUAGGUAUGGUAGGAGAGCGUUCUAUGUGUGAUGAAGGUAUACCGUGAGGAGUGCUGGAACGCAUAGAAGUGAGAAUGCCGGUAUGAGUAGCGAAAGACAGGUGAGAAUCCUGUCCACCGUAAGACUAAGGUUUCCAGGGGAAGGCUCGUCCGCCCUGGGUUAGUCGGGACCUAAGGAGAGACCGAAAGGUGUAUCCGAUGGACAACAGGUUGAUAUUCCUGUACUAGAGUAUGUAGUGAUGGAGGGACGCAGUAGGCUAACUAAAGCAGACGAUUGGAAGAGUCUGUCUAAGCAGUGAGGUGUGAAUUGAGUCAAAUGCUUAAUUCUAUAACAUUGAGCUGUGAUGGGGAGCGAAGUUUAGUAGCGAAGUUAGUGACGUCACACUGCCAAGAAAAGCUUCUAGCGUUUAAACAUACUCUACCCGUACCGCAAACCGACACAGGUAGUCGAGGCGAGUAGCCUCAGGUGAGCGAGAGAACUCUCGUUAAGGAACUCGGCAAAAUGACCCCGUAACUUCGGGAGAAGGGGUGCUGACUUUAAGUCAGCCGCAGUGAAUAGGCCCAAGCAACUGUUUAUCAAAAACACAGCUCUCUGCUAAAUCGUAAGAUGAUGUAUAGGGGGUGACGCCUGCCCGGUGCUGGAAGGUUAAGAGGAGUGCUUAGCGUAAGCGAAGGUAUGAAUUGAAGCCCCAGUAAACGGCGGCCGUAACUAUAACGGUCCUAAGGUAGCGAAAUUCCUUGUCGGGUAAGUUCCGACCCGCACGAAAGGCGUAAUGAUUUGGGCACUGUCUCAACGAGAGACUCGGUGAAAUUUUAGUACCUGUGAAGAUGCAGGUUACCCGCGACAGGACGGAAAGACCCCAUGGAGCUUUACUGCAGUUUGAUAUUGAGUGUCUGUACCACAUGUACAGGAUAGGUAGGAGUCUAAGAGAUCGGGACGCCAGUUUCGAAGGAGACGCUGUUGGGAUACUACCCUUGUGUUAUGGCCACUCUAACCCAGAUAGGUGAUCCCUAUCGGAGACAGUGUCUGACGGGCAGUUUGACUGGGGCGGUCGCCUCCUAAAAGGUAACGGAGGCGCCCAAAGGUUCCCUCAGAAUGGUUGGAAAUCAUUCGCAGAGUGUAAAGGUAUAAGGGAGCUUGACUGCGAGAGCUACAACUCGAGCAGGGACGAAAGUCGGGCUUAGUGAUCCGGUGGUUCCGUAUGGAAGGGCCAUCGCUCAACGGAUAAAAGCUACCCUGGGGAUAACAGGCUUAUCUCCCCCAAGAGUUCACAUCGACGGGGAGGUUUGGCACCUCGAUGUCGGCUCGUCGCAUCCUGGGGCUGUAGUCGGUCCCAAGGGUUGGGCUGUUCGCCCAUUAAAGCGGCACGCGAGCUGGGUUCAGAACGUCGUGAGACAGUUCGGUCCCUAUCCGUCGCGGGCGUAGGAAAUUUGAGAGGAUCUGCUCCUAGUACGAGAGGACCAGAGUGGACUUACCGCUGGUGUACCAGUUGUCUUGCCAAAGGCAUCGCUGGGUAGCUAUGUAGGGAAGGGAUAAACGCUGAAAGCAUCUAAGUGUGAAACCCACCUCAAGAUGAGAUUUCCCAUGAUUAUAUAUCAGUAAGAGCCCUGAGAGAUGAUCAGGUAGAUAGGUUAGAAGUGGAAGUGUGGCGACACAUGUAGCGGACUAAUACUAAUAGCUCGAGGACUUAUCCGA
rnacentral:rRNA from 1 species